rnacentral:tRNA from 1 species
GCCGAGCGGUACGGAAGAGGGUGCGCCGCGUCCGCUGCGCGCGGUCCUUCCCGGAGUUGUCGUCGGGGCCCUGAUCCUCGCGGGAUUCGGCGCC